UAGUUUUUUUUUUAAUUCAAAAAGCUCGAUUAAUUUAAUUACCGACAUCAAAUUGAAGCCAAUAAUUUUAAUUAGAGACGUUAAAAUCAAAAGCAUUAAACUCUUCUUUAACCAUCAUCGAUCAGGAAAAAGGAAGUAACAACAGGUUCAGAACAAAAGCGACAAAAAAUGAAGGCAGGAAGUGCUGCCAAGCUGAUCGUAGAUGCAUUGCUACAGCGGUUCCUUCCUCUAGCUAGGCGCCGCAUCGAAACAGCUCAAGUUCAGGAUGGACAGUGUCUUCGACCAUCCGACCCUGCUUAUGAACAAGUACUAGAUUCCUUGGCUAUGGUUGCACAACAUAUGCCUAUUCCUCUUCUAGAAACCCUUCUAAGAUGGCGAGAAAGGUAG